CUUAAGCCACCGUUCAUCAAAAGGGAAACAUUCCCUGCAGCCUGCAUUAGAAAUGGAAAUAAGGAAGGCAAUGUAAAAAGGAGUUGAAGAAAGACAUCCAGUGCAUCCAGCAGACAUGCCACGCUUAGCCUUCUGGGAGUGGGAUUUCAAUGACUGUUAGCUGCUAUUGUUAUAACUCCAUAGCAGUAACCCAGGCUCCUGAGAACAGCUCAACCUGGUUGCCCUGCCAACCUUUCUCAAGUAAGAGAAGGGUUUGAUUGUACCUGAUUGUUAAACUUCCUGUGGAAGCUAACCAAAAUAGAAAGUCUAUUCACUGGCAGCAGUAAGUGUCGACAAUAUGAGCAACUCCCAAAACAAAAAGAAGACUCAGAAAGUCAAGCUUUCUUAAAUAAAAGUUUGGAGCCUCAGAGUUUGUGAUACUUGCCUAGAGAUGAGAAAUUAAAAACCCACCUUAUCCAGAAAAGGCUUAUAGCCUCAAGUCAACAGUGCAAACUGAGCUACUCCCUAAAAAUGCAAUGAAGACUUCACAUGAUGCUGGAUUCUGUCUGUGAAUAGGAGCCACUGUACCAGCUUCUGAGAGACUUCAAGAGAUUGGUUAAUGAUCCUUACUGCUUGAUUUAUACAAGAUGUAGCACCUACUUGGACCCUGGGACCAGCUUUUCACUCUGCAGCCAUCUUGCAAGACAAACUGGGCUUCACUUCUUUAUCUGUCCCCAUCGCAUCCAGUGGGCUGCAUGAAAGGCCAUGCCAUAGUUGAGAGCACACUCUGAAAACUCU